GAGGUAGGCUGAGGAGCAAAAGGGAGGAAUCCGCCCAAGGAGGGGCUCACGUCUGAUUAGCUAGUUGGUGAGGCAAUGGCUUACCAAGGCUCCGAUCAGUAGUUGGUCUGAGAGGAUGAUCAGCCACACUGGGACUGAGACACGGCCCAGACUCCUACGGGAGGCAGCAGUGAGGAAUUUUCCGCAAUGGGCGAAAGCCUGACUGAGCAAUGCCGCGUGAAGGAAGAAGGCUCACGGGUCGUAAACUUCUUUUCUCGGAGAAGAAUAAAUGA
rnacentral:rRNA from 1 species